GUGCUAGAUGCAGCAGAACAUUCACUAAAAUAGGCAUGGGGCAGAGAAGAUAAGCAUGGCUACUGUGCAAGGAUGGCAUGCAUAAUUGUGAAAAGUUCCAUAUUUUU
ensembl:snRNA U6 U6 spliceosomal RNA